rnacentral:tRNA from 1 species
ACUUGGCUGGCUCAGCCAGAAGAGCACGUGACUCUUGAUCUCAGGGUUGUGAGUUCGAGCCCCAUGCUGGGUG